CCGAUCAUGAUUUUCCUACCCCCACAGGGAAAGGUCCGUCCCUGUGGGGGUAAGAAGGAUUCAAACCCCCG
rnacentral:tRNA from 1 species